UCGAUGGAUUGACACUCCUGCAGAUGACUGAAAGAAUGAGUGAGCGUCUUUUUCCAAAAGUGAAAGACCAAGUGAAAUUCUUGUCUGCUGUAGAGAAGCUGAAAGAUGGAAGGCAACACAAAGAAAAGCAUACUGUGCCAGCACUCCAACCUAUGUUUAACUGCAAAGUGCAGUUUCCUCCAGCUGUGCUCACUGCGUUGACCAAUAAAGAUGCAGCACUAAAGUCACCCACCAAGAACAGACUCAAAAACAUGCUUAUUCAAGCACUGUUUGACCACUUGAGUAAUGAGACAAUGUAUCCCUCUCAUGUGCAGUAUGUAGAGCUUCUGAGGACUGUCCUUCUGAGUUUUCCUUUUUUGAAGGAGAGUUAUGGCUCUGGAUAUGAUGCUCUGCAUGAGUCUCUCAGGAACAAGUUUAAAAAGGAAAGAAGACCACUAGUAGACAUAGAGGAAAUUGAAAAAAUGAGACAGAAAUACUCAGUUCCAAAUUCAGGAAGAAAAAGAUCAUCAGAUGUCCAGCCCUGUAUCCUUUUGAAAAAAACCAAGGAUAUCAAUCCUUUUGACGAUGGGGCGGAUGAAAGGAGCACCGACCAACAUGUAUCAGUGAUUAAGCAAGAGUGCCAAAAAACUAGGCCAAAUGUGGAUGUCAUUCGAACGCACCUCAGGAAAAUACAGAAGUACAGAACACACUACAUUCUUCAGCAUACUACUGAAGAGGUUCUAUGAGAAUUCCCAUGUCUCACUAUCCCUGUUGUGCUUCUUGAAGAGGCUUCCAUGUUACUUAAAAAUGAUGUGGACAAAAAAGUAAUCCGAGGAUUCAGUAAGUUGGCAGCAAAGCUUGUGUCAAUAGCCCCAAACAGCAACCUUAAAAGCCUCUGCUUAAAAUCUGUUGAUGAGAGCCAGACAGACACUGAAAGAAAAGGUCAGAUAGUAAACACAGCUGUUCUUCUCCUGCCAUCUAUUUUCAAAGAAAAUGCCUCUCAUCUCUUCGUCAUAAAUAAGGAUCCACACAGCCCAAUACCUACAAUCGUACUCAGCAGCAGUGACGGCAAGCCCUUGAGUGAUUCAACUGAGGUCAAUGUCCAGAUGGAUGGACAAAAAAUUAUUCUGGACAGUGGGGAAAUGGACAUUUCAUUGGCGAUG
ensembl:lncRNA